rnacentral:rRNA from 1 species
CUCAGGAUGAACGCUGGCGGCGUGCCUAAUACAUGCAAGUCGUGCGGAAAGGCCACUUCGGUGGUACUCGAGCGGCGGACGGGCAGGAGUUAACGCGUAGGAACAUACCCCAAACUGAGGCAUAACUGCUCGAAAGAGCAGCUAAUACCGCAUGUGAUCUUCGGAUUUAAAGCUUCGGCGGUUUGGGAAUGGCCUGCGUCCGAUUAGCUAGUUGGUGAGGUAAAUGCUCACCAAGGCUUCGAUCGGUAGCUGGUCUGAGAGGAUGAUCAGCCUGACUGGAACUGGGAACGGUCCAGACUCCUACGGGAGGCAGCAGUAGGGAAUUUUCCACAAUGGGCGAAAGCCUGAUGGAGCAACGCCGCGUGCAGGAUGAAUGCCUUCGGGUUGUAAACUGUCUUUUAUUAGUGAAGAAUAUGACGGUAACUAAUGAAUAAGGGUCGGCUAACUACGUG